rnacentral:rRNA from 1 species
AGUCGAGCGAGUCUGCCUUGAAGAUCGGAGUGCUUGCACUCUGUGAAACAAGAUACAGGCUAGCGGCGGACGGGUGAGUAACACGUGGGUAACCUGCCCAAGAGAUCGGGAUAACACCUGGAAACAGAUGCUAAUACCGGAUAACAACAGAUGAUGCCUAUCAACUGUUUAAAAGAUGGUUCUGCUAUCACUCUUGGAUGGACCUGCGGUGCAUUAGCUAGUUGGUAGGGUAACGGCCUACCAAGGCGAUGAUGCAUAGCCGAGUUGAGAGACUGAUCGGCCACAUUGGGACUGAGACACGGCCCAAACUCCUACGGGAGGCAGCAGUAGGGAAUCUUCCACAAUGGACGCAAGUCUGAUGGAGCAACGCCGCGUGAGUGAAGAAGGGCUUCGGCUCGUAAAGCUCUGUUGUUGGUGAAGAAGGACAGGGGUAGUAACUGACCUUUGUUUGACGGUAAUCAAUUAGAAAGUCACGGCUAACUACGUGCCAGCAGCCGCGGUAAUACGUAGGUGGCAAGCGUUGUCCGGAUUUAUUGGGCGUAAAGCGAGUGCAGGCGGCUCGAUAAGUCUGAUGUGAAAGCCUUCGGCUCAACCGGAGAAUUGCAUCAGAAACUGUCGAGCUUGAGUACAGAAGAGGAGAGUGGAACUCCAUGUGUAGCGGUGAAAUGCGUAGAUAUAUGGAAGAACACCGGUGGCGAAGGCGGCUCUCUGGUCUGUUACUGACGCUGAGGCUCGAAAGCAUGGGUAGCGAACAGGAUUAGAUACCCUGGUAGUCCAUGCCGUAAACGAUGAGUGCUAAGUGUUGGGAGGUUUCCGCCUCUCAGUGCUGCAGCUAACGCAUU